ensembl:antisense_RNA anr-3 ncRNA
UUUCCGGAAGAAUUGAACUCAUCCCACCCCUCCCACUCCCCGACCGAAGCAGUUACCGACUGAUCCAGGGAGGAUGAGGGAAGCCUAACUCCUCGAACACCCAACUAUCAAGCUCGACACCUUCGGCACAAUGAUCGAGCAUCUUUUUGCGGCGGAGCUCCACGUAGCGGUACUUGUCUUGGACCUGGAAAUUGAUAAAAAUUACAAAAUUUCAGCCCGGAAGAUGUCGGCCGCAUCUGAGUGUGCUGCUCCUCACCUUCCGCUUCAGUUCGGCCAAAUCAUUAUCCUCCAAAUCGCCUUCCAACAUCCCGGACAGCUGCUCGGUCGCCAAUUCGAGAUCACUUUGAUUCGUCUCGAACAGUGUCGUCAUAUUGUUCGCCUCCAGGUAGUAGGCGAAGGCGUAGGCAUAUUUCAGCGUACGGCGACACUCGCAAAGCGCAUCGACCGCUCGUCGAAGGAAUUGAACUUCGAUCCAUGACAUUGAGAGUGCCUGCAUUAGGUCCAUUUUUACUUCCACUUUCGCGUAGAGCUGAAAAAUGUUUGAUGAAGCCCGGCAGAUGUCGGGUGCUUUGAAAAUAACAAACCUUUCCCUCCAACUUCAUACUAUUCUGAUGGGCCAUGAAUCUAUUAUAG